UGGGGAAUUUUGGACAAUGGGCGCAAGCCUGAUCCAGCCAUGCCGCGUGCGUGAAGAAGGCCUUCGGGUUGUAAAGCUCUUUCGGCGGGGACGAAAUGGUUCGUGCCAAUACCACGGACUGAUGACGGUACCUGAAGAAGAAGCACCGGCUAACUACGUGCCAGCAGCCGCGGUAAUACGUAGGGUGCAGGCGUUAAUCGGAAUUACUGGGCGUAAAGCGUGCGCAGGCGGUUUGUUAAGACAGAUGUGAAAUCCCCGGGCUUAACCUGGGAACUGCGUUUGUAACUGGCAGACUGGAGUGUGGCAGAGGGGGGUGGAAUUCCAAGUGUAGCAGUGAAAUGCGUAGAUAUUUGGAGGAACACCGAUGGCGAAGGCAGCCCCCUGGGCUAACACUGACGCUCAUGCACGAAAGCGUGGGGAGCAAACAGGAUUAGAUACCCACGUAGUCCCUGAGCGGGCUGGCAAGGCGCAU
rnacentral:rRNA from 1 species